UACGAAGGGUGCAAGCGUUACUCGGAAUUACUGGGCGUAAAGGGUGCGUAGGUGGUUGUUUAAGUCUGUUGUGAAAGCCCCGGGCUCAACCUGGGAAUGGCAAUGGAUACUGGACAGCUAGAGUGCGGUAGAGGGUAGUGGAAUUCCCGGUGUAGCAGUGAAAUGCGUAGAGAUCGGGAGGAACACCAGUGGCGAAGGCGGCUACCUGGACCAGCACUGACACUGAAGCACGGAAAGCGUGGGGAGCAACAGG
rnacentral:rRNA from 1 species